CCAUUUUUUUCAUUUCCCUCUUCACUCUCCCCCUAUUUUCUUUUUCCUCUCAUUCGCACACUUCCCUCUUCAGACCCUAUUCUUUCUCACUCCUCUUUUCCAAAACCUUGCCAUUCCUCCGUUAAUCGUGGGUGAAGAGUUCGUCGUGGUGUAGAUCUGGCCUCCAUGCAAGUUUGCUCGUCGUGCAACCCGCGCCGCCACACCCAAUCACUCAAAUUUGCUGGUCAUUCCACCGGAUCUCCUGCUCGUUUCGUCGUCGUUUACGUGUCUCCACUGGAUUUGCUGCUCGUUCCAUCGUCAUUCGCAUGUCUCCGCCAGAUCUGCUGCUCGUUCGCGUCUCUCCGCCAGGCUCGCGUCUCUCCGUGCAGAUCUACUGAUUUGACAUGGACAAUUCUUCAAUCAUUGCUACAUUCCCUACUGAUUUGCGGGAAGAAGUUCUAUUAACUUCACUAUGUUCCAGGACCUGUAUCUAUCUUACCAGUUCAGCCAAUGAGCAGACAACUCAGGUUAGUCCGCAGCGGAGGAACUUGAGGCAAGGUGUCCUAGAUGCAAUUCCUGAGGAUGAAGAAGUUGGAAAGGAGGAGAAUGGAAGUAAUGGGUUGAUUCGGCACCAGAAUGUACAGGUUCAAGGUAAAUUUUUGGUUUUGUAGUGGUAGCAUCGUUAUGCUGCCGAAAAUUUUCCAUCGUCUUUGUAUCUCAUAUCUAGGUGAAACAAAGGAGAAGAUUUGGUAUCGCAACCUCUUUAUGCUUUUUCUUGGGGAACUCUAAAUCCAACACAUUCACUACAAGAAUUUUUCCUUGAAUGUACCAUUUAUGCACAUUCCCAAUAAACACGUGGUCAGACAAAGAUGCCUAUAACCAGACACUAUUGAAGUUGGGGGGAGGGGUCUGUUCAAGAAGAAUUAUGAAGGGAUUCAUACUUACUAAGUAGAGAGGGACAGUAAAUUCAUAAUGUUUGUAUUACUUGUAAUUCCUGUUUUCAAGGCCUGAAUUAUUGUAUGGCCUUUUAAAUAUAAU